rnacentral:rRNA from 1 species
AGUGAAUAGAUACCCCGGUAGUCCUAGCCGUAAACGAUACUCGCUAGGUGUCGGCCACGGUGCGACCGUUGUCGGUGCCGUAGGGAAAGCCGUGAAGCGAGCCACCUGGGAAGUACGGCCGCAAGGCUGAAACUUAAAGGAAUUGGCGGGGGAGCACCACAACGGGUGGAGCUUGCGGUUUAAUUGGAUUCAACGCCGGAAAUCUUACCGGGACCGACAGCAAUAUGAAGGCCAGGCUGAAGACUUUGCCGGAUUAGCUGAGAGGUGGUGCAUGGCCGUCGUCAGUUCGUACUGUGAAAGCAUCCUGUUAAGUCAGGCAACGAGCGAGACCCACGCCCACAGUUGCCAGCGUACUCUCUGGAGUGACGGGUACACUGUGGGGACCGCCGCUGCUAAAGCGGAGGAAGGAAUGGGCAACGGUAGGUCAGUAUGCCCCGAAUAUCCCGGGCUACACGCGAGCUACAAUGGUUGGUACAAUGGGUAUCUACCCCGAAA